rnacentral:tRNA from 1 species
GGGUCUGUGGUUUAGUGGGUAAGUCAUCGUCACUUCGAAAUCCACGGAAAACCCAAAAUUAACAAGUUCCAGUAUAAUACUCCCUUAGCAUCAGCAUCAACAACACCACGUUGAUCCCUGCAUGGGAGUGGUCCGGGGUUCGAUUCCCCGCGGAUCCA